rnacentral:lncRNA from 1 species
CCCUCCAAAUGAUUUUCAUAUAUUUCUUCAUGCACUUCUUGAAGUGCAUAAUUAGCUUUGGAUGGUGUCAGGCAUCAAAGUAAUGGAAGGGAAUAGGAUCUCUUAUAUAAUUGGCUUCCUUGAAGGAUAUACCAGGGGGCUUACCUUUUAAUGCUUUUAGCCUUAAUCGGAUCAUCAGGUAAAUUUUUUUAAGAUAUAUAGUCCACGAGAGGAUCAAUCCAGCUCGGUUCAUGACCGACUUGGAAGAUAGAGAGAACCUCAAUGUUGGAUUUAUCU